CCGAGGACUGGUUAGGGACUUGACUAGAGGUGGGUUAGAUUUUCAUGGUUUACUGGCGGAUUCAGGGAAGUGAGGGAAGGUGGGAUCACAACCCUGGAAACGUUGGUGAGGUCAGCAGUUUGUAUUGCACAUUUCAUUUCAUAUAUGAAAGGUGCUCAGUAUUUGUGAAUGGAUGACUCCUCAGGCUCCGAGUCUGGAGAAUGCAGAAAGAAUCAAAGUGUGUUUCCCACGACAGAAACAGGGUGGUUUGCUGAUACGGUGAUUUGGUGAUUUGAAGUCCCUGGUCCACCAUCUAUGACAGUAUAUGUAGAAGUGCCCAGCAAACUAUUUUACACAGAAUAGGGGGCCUGGGUUCCAUCCCUGGUCAGGGAAUGAGGUCCCACAUGCAUGCCACAACUAAGAGUUCACAUGCCACCACUAAGGAGCCUACCUGCUGCCACUAAGGAGCCUAUCUGCUGCAACUAAGGAGCCCAUGAGCGGCAACUAAGGAGCCCCCUGCCACAAGUAAGGAGCCCGCAACUAAGACCUGGUGCAACCAAAUAAAUAAAUAAAUAGAGACAUAAACAUGUGAUUUUUAUUUGUAAUUAUGUAUGUAUUUGCUUAUAUAUGCUUUUUUUGAGUUUUUAUGUGUACCCAUUUAUUGAUUGCUGGGAAUACAGCUUAUUGAGGAUACAUGACGUGAUGCUUAUACGUUUUUUUUUUUUUUUUUUUUGUGGUACGCAGGCCUCUCACUGCUGUGGCCUCUCCCGUUGUGGAGCACAGGCUCCGGACGCUCAGGCUCAGCGGCCAUGGCUCACGGGCCCAGCUGCCUCGCGGCAUAUGGGAUCUUCCCGGACCGGGGCAUGAACCCGUGUCCCCUGCAUCGGCAGGCGGACUCUCAACCACUGCGCCACCAGGGAAGCCCUGAUGCUUAUACUUUUAAAUGAGAAAAAUGAAAUUUAGAGAGGUCACAUACAGCUAUCCAGUUCCAUAUACCACACUGCAGAAGUUAAGGAUGGAAGAUAUUAAUCCAUUCACCUGUCUGUUCCAUGAGGUCAUAUUGUGCCUAUCUUGCUCACCAUUGUUUCCCUAGGACCUAGAUUAUACCAGUUUUCAAUAAAUAUCCAUUGAAGAAGUGAAUGCAAGCUUCAGUAACCCCCAGCAAAUGGGUUAAUGGAUGAAAAGGCAGUGGAGUGCAGGGCAAAGAGCAGCAGCAUUGACUGCAUCAGACAAAACCGAAUUUAGAUUAUAACCCUGCUAUUUGCUAAUCUGUGAGUUUGAACGGAUAAGGUAAUCUUACUGAAUAUAUUUUAACUAUAAAAAUGUACUAAUACUCAUAGGGUUACUGAGAGGAAUAAGUGUGAUAAUACAGGUAAAAUUUGUAAUACAGUGCUUGGCUUGUGGCGGGCACUUGCUUAAUAGUAGCUAUUGUUUGCAGUCUCUAAAGAGCUAUUCAAAUAAUGAGUAAACAAGCUGAAAAUGGAGAGUAAUAUAGACAACUAUUAUUAUAAUUUAUGUAGGUUUUAAAAAAAUUAUUUAUUUUUGGCUGCGUUGGGUCUUCAUUGCUGUGCACGGACUUUCUCUAGUUGUGGUGAGUGGGGGCUACUCUUCGUUGCUGUGCAUAGGCUUCUCAUUGCAGUGGCUUCUCGUUGCAGAGUAUGGGCUCUAGGCGUGCGGGCUUCAGUAGUUGUGGCACGCGGGCUCAGUAGUUGUGGCUCGUGGGCUCUAGAAUGCAGGCUCAGUAGUUGUGGUGCACGGGCUUAGUUGCUCCACAGCAUGUGGUAUCUUCCCGGACCAGGGCUCGAACUGUGUCCCCUGCAUUGGCAGGCAGAUUCUCAACCACUGCGCCACCAGGGAAGCCCCUCCAACAUAUAUUUAUGCUUACUAUAUGCCAAGCAUAGUCUGCAUUUUUUUUAACAUGAAAUCAAGUACACUAAAUCAUCACCCUAUGAAUUAAGUGCUACAAUUACUUUGUUUUUAUAGAAGAGGAAACUGGGACACUGAAAAGAUAAGUAAGGGGUGGAGCCGAGUGUGGAAUUCAGGCACAGAGCUACAACAAAUUAGAGAGGAAAAGUGACUAAUCAUGGUUUCACUAACCUUGUUUUUGUUUUUUAACUUUCAAAUUUCUUUACAGCCCAAAUUAAGAUGAAAACAUAUUUCUAUUCAUCCAAGUAAUCCAAAACAUUCACUGGUUAGAUCAGGGUUGGCCCCAUGACCCUGUAAUAUUAAAUUACCCAGUUGGGCUUGAACUAUCUAUCUGAUGUUGUACCAUGAAAUACAGAAACAGAAUUGCACUGGGUGUCAAGUGACAGCAGCUCAUGGGCUUUGUUUUGUGUGUGUGUGUGCUUACAUUUUUUAAUUUUAAUUUUUUAUUUUUUUUCAAAUUCUUUUCCAAUUUAUCACUAACGUUGGUUCUUAAUUCAGCCUGUAAUCCUAUUAUAUUUCCCUAUACCAUUCUCAAGAUUUAGUAUACAUCAGAAUCAUCUGAAAGGCUUCUCUUUUUUUUUGGCUGCAUUGGGUCUUCGUUGCCAUUCGCAGGCUUUCUCUAGUUGCCGCAAGCCGGGGCUACUUAACUCUUCGUUGCGGUGCGUGGGCUUCUCAUUGCGGUGGCUUCUCUUGUUGCGGAGCACGGGCUCUAGGCGCGUGGGCUUCAGUAGUUGCAACAUGCGGGCUCAGCAGUUGCGGCACGCGGGCCCUAGAGGGCAGGGCUUCGAUAGUUGUGGUGCAUGGGCUCAGUAGUGGUGGCACAUGGGCUCUAGGGUGCUCGGGCUUCAGUAGUUGUGGUGCACGGGCUUAGUUGCUCUGCGGCAUGUGGGAUCUUCCCGGACCAGGGAUCGAACCUGAGUCCCCUGCAUUCGUAGGCUGAUUCUUAACCACUGUGCCACCAGGGAAGUCCCUGAAAGUCUUCUUAAAACAGUUAAAACUGUAGUGCCAUGGACAGAGUUUUUGAUUCAGUAGACUCAGUGGGUGGGUCCCCCCAAUUUACAUUUCUAACUAGUUCCCAAAUGAUGAGGCUGCUAGUCUGGGGAUCACACUUUGAGAACCAUGACCCUAAUUCACUCACUUUCCUAGACUGUUUCCCACUUUCUCUGCCCUCCCCUCAACUGAUGACUUUGAUUCUUAUUUUCAGUUAGAAAAUAAUAGAAAUCAAAACAGAACUUCUGUAUAUUCUCACCAUAUCUGUGGUGUGGUACCUGCGUUUGUACCUAGAUUUUCUGUCUUCUUUUCUGUUACUAAUGUAGUAAAUCCCAUCUUUCUUGCUUAUAUAAGGUUUCACUCCACUGUUUUAUCAGAUCCUCCCCACCCCGCCAACUACUGGAUCAUUUCCAACAGCAAACAUACAUGCUUUGUAUCUCCCAUAUCUACAAAACAACUAUAGCAAAAUUAAAAACUCUUCUCUUGAUCUCAUAACUCCCUCUAGCUCCUUAUUACUAUUCCCCUUCAUAUAGUAACUCUUUGAAAGGAUUGUUUAUACUCAUUGUCUCCAAUAUCUCUUUGGUAUUUGGUACCUACUCUGCUACCACCCUGGUCCAACUCACUAUUAUCUUUCACCUUUGUUUCUGCAUAGCCUCCUAGCUGGUCCCUCUCUUCUCGUCUCAAUACAGCAGCCAAAGUGACUCUUUUAAAAUGAAUCAGAUUGAUUGACUUAAUAAAUUUUAAGGUGCUUGUUAUGUGCCAGGCACUGUACCAAGUCCUGGGGAUACAGCAGUAAAUAAGACAGAAAAGGGAGUUCCCUGGUGGCCUAGUGGUUAGGAUUCUGGGCUUUCACUGAUGAGACCCGGGUUCAAUCCCUGGUUGGGGAACUGAGAUCUUGCAAAA